rnacentral:rRNA from 1 species
UGGCGGCAUGCCUUCACAUGCAAGUCGAACGGUAACGCGGGGGCAACCCUGGCGACGAGUGGCGAACGGGUGAGUAAUACAUCGGAACAUAUCCAGUAGCGGGGGAUAACCUAUCGAAAGAUUGGCUAAUACCGCAUACGAUCUACGGAUGAAAGCGGGGGACCGCAAGGCCUCGCACUAUUGGAGUGGCCGAUGUCAGAUUAGCUAGUUGGUGGGGUAAAAGCCUACCAAGGCGACGAUCUGUAGCUGGUCUGAGAGGACGAUCAGCCACACUGGAACUGAGACACGGUCCAGACUCNUACGGGAGGCAGCAGUGGGGAAUUUUGGACAAUGGGCGCAAGCCUGAUCCAGCCAUGCCGCGUGAGUGAAGAAGGCCUUCGGGUUGUAAAGCUCUUUCGGUGAAGACGAAACGGUUAGCGUUAAUAACGCUGACUAAUGACGGUACUCACAGAAGAAGCACCGGCUAACUACGUGCCAGCAGCCGCGGUAAUACGUAGGGUGCAGGCGUUAAUCGGAAUUACUGGGCGUAAAGCGUGCGCAGGCGGUUUGCUAAGACAGGUGUGAAAUCCCCGGGCUUAACCUGGGAAUUGCGCUUGUAACUGGCAAGCUAGAGUGUGGCAGAGGGGGGUGGAAUUCCACGUGUAGCAGUGAAAUGCGUAGAUAUGUGGAGGAACACCGAUGGCGAAGGCAGCCCCCUGGGUUAACACUGACGCUCAGGCACGAAAGCGUGGGGAGCAAACAGGAUUAGACACCCUGGUAGUCCACGCCCUAAACUAUGUCAACUAGUUGUCGGGGAAGAAAUUCCUUGGUAACGAAGCUAACGCGUGAAGUUGACCGCCUGGGGAGUACGGCCGCAAGGUUCAAAACUCAAAGGAAUUGACGGGGUACCCGCCACAAGCGGUGGAUUAUGUGGGAUUAAUUCGAUGCAACGCGAAAAACCUUACCUACCCUUGACAUGCUAGGAAGUCCGCAGAGAUGUGGACGUGCCCGAAAGGGAACCUAGACACAGGUGCUGCAUGGCUGUCGUCAGCUCGUGUCGUGAGAUGUUGGGUUAAGUCCCGCAACGAGCGCAACCCUUGCCAUUAGUUGCGACAUUUAGUUGAGCACUCUAAUGGGACCGCCGGUGACAAACCGGAGGAAGGUGGGGAUGACGUCAAGUCCUCAUGGCCCUUAUGGGUAGGGCUUCACACGUAAUACAAUGGUCGGUACAGAGGGCUGCCAACCCGCGAGGGGGAGCUAAUCCCAGAAAGCCGAUCGUAGUCCGGAUUGUAGUCUGCAACUCGACUGCAUGAAGCCGGAAUCGCUAGUAAUCGCGGAUCAGCAUGUCGCGGUGAAUACGUUCCCGGGUCUUGUACACACCGCCCGUCACACCAUGGGAGUGGGUUCCACCAGAAGUAGGUAGCCUAACCGUAAGGAGGGCGCU